GCGAGGUACCCAGGGGUGGCAGAGGCUUCCGAGGAAAGACUGCGCGCGACGGCGAGCCCCUACCUCCUGCCCGGAGGCCGGCAUCCCUGGCGGGUCCCGAGGGGCCUGGUGCUAGGCUGGGCUGGGCCGGCCGGGGGCUGCUCGCGGGCCGCUUGCAGUUACCUCCUGGUCCUUCUGGACUGUCAGGAGGAAAUGGUUCUGGGGACGGUGCCUCCACCUUCCAGCACCGUCAGUUACAGUGUUACCAUGGUCGCCGUUAAGGCGGGAAACGAUGAACUCGGGCUCCUGGACCCCGAGCCACCCCGAGGAAUCGUCUGAGCAACCCGGGAUGAGGAAGAGCAGAGCAGUGGGCAUGGCGAGCCUGCUAGUGUGGUUUGCAGACUCCCGACGAUAGCACCGCAGGCCCAGGAUCAGGGUAAGUUUGGAGCCAGGACAGAGAAGCUCUGUGAGUUCUCAGGUGAAUAGCUGUUCUGCUGUAAGUGUACAGGUUGUUGUUGUUAUUUAGUUGCUAAGUUGUGUCCGACUCGUUGUGACUCCAUGCAGGCUCCUGUGUCCAUGAAAUUUCCUAGGCAAGGAUUCUGGAGUGGGUUGCCAUUUCCUUCUCCAGGACAUCUUCCCUACCUAGGGAUAACCCUUGUUUCCUGCAUUGGCAAGCAGGUUCUCUACUGCUGAGCCACCUGGGAAGUCUAUAAGUGUACAAAUCCACCUCCUCCAAGUUCUAAUAACCUAGAUUGGCUCCUCGUUUCACUUAAUUCUUCCAAGGUGACCAGUAGGGAUCCUGGUGCAAGGUCACUCCAGUCAGACAUUACCCCUCAGCUGUGACCUUUUCCAGCUCUCCACCCCAGGGCUGAUUCCAUCCAGGAGCUUGGGGAUAUCAGAAGUGGAAAAGAAAAGUUCAGGAAUGCAAGAAAAGGAAAGGGCAGCAGGGGAAUGCACUAGAGUUAACUCUGUUCCCUGCUGUGGCCUUCCACCUCUUUAAUCAGCAGACUCUGAUAUUUGGGGAAGCAGUACAGGCAGCCCAGGAGAUGAGUCACGAGUGCCUCCCUCCAGUCCAUCAGAGAAUCUCAGUCACACUUGCCUUGAGUUUCUGACAGCCAGGGAGGCCCUGUGACCCAGUUCUGGUCCCAGAGAGAGAACGAGAAAGCUCUCGCUACUUGGGCAAAGUGGCUGGGGAUAAUCUCCUUUACCUCUGAAGCUAGGCGUGCAUAGGGCGGGGCCCUGGGCCUUUCCCCUACCUUUCUUCCCCAGGAAGCAGGGCUGAGCCGCCUCGCCUCAAAGCUGUGAAGUGAUGAAACAAGCAGCUGAGGGAGGUGGGGUGGGAAAAAAGAGAGCGCAGGUUCUGGAUGAAAUUGCUGGGGCACCACUGGAGCUUGGCUGCAAGUGGACUGUUCUGCUCAAGCCGCUUCCUGGAUUUCCCGCUCAUUGCGUCCCAGAUGAUACAGUCACAGGUGGGACCUGGGAGCUGAGGGUCCUGCCCCAGAGCUUGCUGAGGAAGACAACGUGGAGAAACAGCCCAGAUUGUUCCAGAUGGCUGAGACGCAAAAGUAGCACAGACUCAGUAGGGUGGCUCUUUUCCCUAGAAUGUCAAUCCACAGUGGUUUAAAUGACAUGCAAAUAAAAGAGGCAAUUUUGUGCAAACUAG